rnacentral:rRNA from 1 species
GACGUAGGGCGCGAGCGUUGUCCGGAUUUAUUGGGCGUAAAGAGCUCGUAGGCGGCUUGUCGCGAUCGACCGUGAAAACUCGCAGCUCAACUGCGAGCCUGACGGUCGAUACGGGCAGGCUAGAGUUCGGUAGGGGAGACUGGAAUUCCUGGUGUAGCGGUGAAAAUGCGCAGAUAGUCAGGAGGAACGACCGAUGGCGAAGGCAGGUCUCUGGGCCGAUACUGACGCUGGAGGAA